rnacentral:rRNA from 1 species
GAUGAACGCUGGCGGCGUGCCUAAUACAUGCAAGUCGAGCGAACAGACGAGGAGCUUGCUCCUUUGACGUUAGCGGCGGACGGGUGAGUAACACGUAGGUAACCUACCUAUAAGACUGGGAUAACUUCGGGAAACCGGAGCUAAUACCGGAUAAUAUUUCGAACCGCAUGGUUCGAUAGUGAAAGAUGGCUUUGCUAUCACUUAUAGAUGGACCUGCGCCGUAUUAGCUAGUUGGUAAGUUAACGGCUUACCAAGGCAACGAUACGUAGCCGACCUGAGAGGGUGAUCGGCCACACUGGAACUGAGACACGGUCCAGGCUCCUACGGGAGGCAGCAGUAGGGAAUCUUACGCAAUGGGCGAAAGCCUGACGGAGCAACGCCGCGUGAGUGAUGAAGGUCUUCGGAUCGUAAAACUCUGUUAUUAGGGAAGAACAAACGUGUAAGUAAAUGUGCACGUCUUGACGGUACCUAAUCAGAAAGCAACGGCUAACUACGUG